UACGAAGGGGGCUAGCGUUGCUCGGAAUCACUGGGCGUAAAGGGUGCGUAGGCGGGUCUUUAAGUCAGGGGUGAAAUCCUGGAGCUCAACUCCAGAACUGCCUUUGAUACUGAAGAUCUUGAGUUCGGGAGAGGUGAGUGGAACUGCGAGUGUAGAGGUGAAAUUCGUAGAUAUUCGCAAGAACACCAGUGGCGAAGGCGGCUUACUGGUCCGGUUCUGACGCUGAGGCGCGAAAGCGUGGGGAGCGAACAGG
rnacentral:rRNA from 1 species